GCCCAGCGCUGGCGGAGCCCGGGUCCCCGUUCUGCCCGGGCUGGAUGGCUCAUUCUGCUGGCUGCGCGGCGGCGGCGGCUCGUGUGUGUGUGCGCCGCGCCCCGCCGCUCCCCGCCGGCCCCCCGAGCCCGGGGCGCGCGCUCCAGCCCGGGGGUCCCCGCGGCGCCGCGGCCCGAGGCUCCGGGCAGCGUAGCAAUGGCCGUGCGCAGGCUGGGGGCCGCGCUGCUGCUGCUGCCGCUGCUAGCCGCCGUGGAAGAAACACUGAUGGACUCUACUACAGCAACGGCUGAGCUGGGCUGGAUGGUACAUCCCCCAUCAGGGUGGGAAGAGGUGAGCGGCUACGAUGAGAACAUGAACACUAUCCGUACCUACCAGGUGUGCAAUGUCUUUGAGUCAAGCCAGAACAACUGGCUACGGACCAAAUUCAUCCGGCGCCGCGGCGCCCACCGCAUCCACGUGGAGAUGAAGUUCUCGGUGCGUGACUGUAGCAGCAUUCCCAGCGUGCCCGGCUCCUGCAAGGAGACCUUCAACCUCUACUACUAUGAGGCUGAUUUUGACUUAGCCACCAAGACCUUUCCCAACUGGAUGGAGAAUCCGUGGGUGAAGGUGGACACCAUUGCGGCUGAUGAGAGCUUUUCCCAGGUGGAUCUGGGUGGCCGCGUCAUGAAAAUCAACACUGAGGUGCGAAGCUUCGGUCCCGUGUCCCGCAAUGGUUUCUACCUGGCCUUCCAGGACUACGGCGGCUGUAUGUCCCUCAUUGCGGUGCGCGUCUUCUACCGGAAGUGCCCCCGAGUCAUCCAGAAUGGUGCCAUCUUCCAGGAGACACUGUCGGGGGCUGAGAGCACCUCACUGGUAGCUGCUCGGGGCAGCUGCAUCGCCAACGCUGAAGAAGUGGAUGUACCCAUCAAACUCUACUGUAACGGGGACGGCGAAUGGCUGGUGCCCAUCGGUCGCUGCAUGUGCAAGGCGGGCUUCGAGGCUGUGGAGAACGGUACCGUCUGCCGAGGUUGUCCAUCAGGAACCUUCAAGGCCAACCAAGGGGAUGAAGCCUGUACCCACUGUCCCAUCAACAGCCGUACCACCUCCGAGGGUGCCACCAACUGUGUGUGCCGUAACGGCUACUACAGGGCUGACCUGGACCCCUUAGACAUGCCUUGCACAACCAUCCCCUCUGCGCCCCAGGCUGUGAUCUCCAGUGUCAACGAGACGUCCCUCAUGCUAGAGUGGACCCCGCCACGAGACUCGGGGGGCCGUGAGGACCUUGUUUAUAACAUCAUCUGCAAGAGCUGUGGCUCAGGCCGGGGUGCCUGCACGCGCUGUGGAGACAAUGUGCAGUACGCACCCCGCCAGCUAGGCCUGACCGAGCCACGCAUCUACAUCAGUGACCUGCUGGCACACACACAGUACACCUUCGAGAUCCAGGCCGUGAAUGGUGUCACCGACCAGAGUCCCUUCUCACCUCAGUUCGCCUCUGUGAACAUCACCACCAACCAAGCAGCACCGUCGGCCGUGUCCAUCAUGCACCAGGUGAGCCGCACCGUGGACAGCAUCACCCUGUCGUGGUCCCAGCCAGACCAGCCCAACGGUGUGAUCCUGGACUAUGAACUACAGUACUAUGAGAAGCAGGAGCUCAGUGAGUACAACGCCACAGCCAUAAAAAGCCCCACCAACACAGUCACUGUGCAGGGCCUCAAAGCCGGCGCCAUCUAUGUCUUCCAGGUGCGGGCACGCACCGUCGCAGGCUAUGGGCGUUACAGUGGCAAGAUGUACUUCCAAACCAUGACAGAAGCCGAGUACCAGACCAGCAUCAAGGAAAAGCUGCCCCUCAUCGUCGGCUCCUCCGCUGCCGGCGUAGUCUUCGUCAUCGCCGUGGUCGUCAUUGCCAUCGUAUGUAACAGAAGACGGGGGUUUGAGCGUGCCGACUCAGAAUACACGGACAAGCUGCAGCACUACACCAGCGGCCACAUGACCCCAGGCAUGAAGAUCUAUAUUGACCCUUUCACCUAUGAAGAUCCUAAUGAGGCAGUGCGGGAGUUUGCCAAGGAAAUCGACAUCUCCUGUGUCAAGAUUGAGCAGGUGAUUGGAGCAGGGGAAUUUGGUGAGGUCUGCAGUGGCCACUUGAAGCUGCCAGGGAAGAGAGAGAUCUUUGUAGCCAUCAAGACCCUCAAGUCAGGAUACACAGAGAAACAGCGCCGGGACUUCCUGAGUGAGGCAUCCAUCAUGGGCCAGUUCGACCACCCCAAUGUCAUCCACCUGGAAGGGGUUGUCACCAAGAGCACACCUGUCAUGAUCAUCACUGAAUUCAUGGAGAACGGUUCCCUGGACUCCUUCCUCCGGCAAAACGAUGGGCAGUUCACGGUCAUCCAACUGGUGGGCAUGCUGAGGGGCAUCGCAGCUGGCAUGAAGUACCUGGCGGACAUGAACUAUGUGCACCGGGACCUUGCUGCACGCAACAUCCUUGUCAAUAGCAACCUGGUGUGCAAGGUGUCUGACUUCGGGCUCUCACGCUUCCUGGAGGACGACACAUCUGACCCCACCUACACCAGCGCUCUGGGUGGGAAGAUCCCCAUCCGUUGGACAGCACCGGAAGCCAUCCAGUACCGGAAAUUCACCUCAGCCAGUGAUGUGUGGAGCUAUGGCAUUGUCAUGUGGGAGGUGAUGUCCUACGGGGAGCGACCCUACUGGGACAUGACCAACCAAGACGUAAUCAAUGCCAUCGAGCAGGACUACCGGCUACCUCCGCCCAUGGACUGCCCCAGCGCGCUGCACCAGCUCAUGCUGGAUUGCUGGCAGAAGGACCGCAACCACCGGCCCAAGUUCGGCCAGAUCGUCAACACGCUGGACAAGAUGAUCCGAAACCCCAACAGCCUCAAAGCUAUGGCGCCCCUGUCCUCUGGUAUCAACCUGCCAUGCCCUGACCAUCCCUGUCACCUGCCCCUCCUCCAGUAUCAACCUGCCACUACUGGACCGCACGAUACCCGACUACACCAGCUUUAACACAGUGGAUGAGUGGCUGGAGGCCAUCAAGAUGGGCCAGUACAAGGAGAGCUUUACCAACGCCGGCUUCACCUCUUUUGACGUCGUAUCUCAGAUGAUGAUGGAGGACAUUCUCCGGGUUGGGGUCACUCUAGCUGGCCACCAGAAAAAAAUCCUGAACAGUAUCCAGGUGAUGCGGGCCCAGAUGAACCAGAUCCAGUCGGUAGAGGUUUGAUGGUCGCCUGCCUCGGCUCUCCUCGUCCUCCAUGCGCCCCUAAGCCCCUUACGUCGGUCCCCCUGCUGCUCUGUCCACUGCAAGGUCAGCCACCUGCCAGCAGGCCACAGGCAACAGGAAGAACCAAGCAGCACUCCAGUCAAGCCGUCACCAAGAACCCAUGCAAGUCAAAGGAAGGAAAAGGGAAUGGGGGGGACACGCACCUAGAUCUGGGAGGGGGCGGGACAGGCAAGAAACGUUUGUUCAAAGAGGAUUCUCAUAAGAAGAGUGAUGGUUCUUAGGGGAGAAAAGCAAAAAGGCUUGGGAGACCCACAUGGCCUGUCCCGGUGGAGGCCAAAAGCAUUUUCUCUCCAACUCCUUCUGGGAAGGUUGAGCUGGUCAGAGCCAAGGGGGAAAAAAAAAUGCUUCCAGGAACAUUAACAUGGAGGGAAGAGGUGGGCCACCCUCCUUGCCUGGCCUUGGCUGUUUCUUGGAGCAUCACUAAUGGCCCAGUCCCAGGCACAAGGGGCAGAGAGACAGGCAGUCGCCCCAAAUAAGCUCUGGGGAAGUCCAUUCCAGUCGCCACCGGCAGACAGAACAGUUCUGUCUUGGGAGCCGGUUUCAAAAACUCCGAGGGACUUUUCUUCUGCUAAUGGUUCAGGAGGCGACACACAGAGGAGCUCCUGGCCUUCCGGAUCACACUGAACAGGCCAGAUCUUCCUGAGGACAGCCACCCAGGUCUGCAGCCCCACAAGGCCCUGCCCUGCACGGGUGCCCGCUCCUGCCCUGCUGCAGGUGACUGUCUUGAGCCUCGACUGCCACUGAGAAGCAUUCUCUUGCAUCUGGGUUUGUUUACAGCAAUUCGUGGACUUGGGGGUAUUUUGAUCAGGGGUGGUUUUGGUCUGGGAGGGUUUGUUUGUUGGGUUUUUUUAAAUGACAAUGAAGAGACACUUUGACAUUUCCUACCUUUUGAGGACUUGAUCCUUCUCCAGGAAGAAGGUGCUUUCUGCUUACUGACUUAGGCAAUACACCAAGGGCAAGAUUUUAUAUGCACAUUUCUGGAUUUUUAUACGCUUUUCAUUGACACCCUUCCCUCCCCGCACCUGCUGCCAGGCCUCACCAAAGCCAACUGUCACAGGGCCACCUGGGCCAUUCAGAGACCUCAGUGGGUCUGGGGGAAUGGAGGGAGCCGCACCAACACCCCCCCCCCCCCGCAUUGGACCCCAGACUGAGUGAGGCAGAUGAGGGCUUCCUCUGCAGGAAGUCCUCUCUUCCUCCCUGCACAUUCCCAUGCUCUCUGCCCUGUUCUAUCUGGUACUUCCCAGGCACAGAGGCCCCUUCAGGUUCCUGGGUGCUCUCCGAUGGCCAAAACCCAAUUUCACCUCUGGGAGCCUGGACCAGGCUACCCAGGAAGUCAGGACCCUGAUCAUUCACUGUGACACCCUAGCCCUCCAAGGGUACCCCGGGAGACCAUGUGACUCUCUCUCCCACUCCUUCUCCCUACCCCCCACCCCCGCCUUUGCCCAGGUCUGAAGGUCUUGGCCAGAGGAAUAUCAUCAGUCAGGGGUCUGGCCUCAGACUCUCCUGUGAGCAAAAGCAGGAGACCCGAGCAGAACAAUCGGUUAGUGAAUUGAACGGAAAUAAAUGCUUUAGUUAUAAAA